GACGAACGCUGGCGGCGUGCCUAAUACAUGCAAGUAGAACGCUGAGGACUGGUGCUUGCACUGGUCUAAGGAGUUGCGAACGGGUGAGUAACGCGUAGGUAACCUACCUCAUAGCGGGGGAUAACAGUUGGAAACGGCUGCUAAUACCGCAUAAGCGCACAGUACCGCAUGGUACGGUGUGAAAAACUCCGGUGGUAUGAGAUGGACCCGCGUCUGAUUAGCUAGUUGGUGGGGUAACGGCCUACCAAGGCGACGAUCAGUAGCCGACCUGAGAGGGUGACCGGCCACAUUGGGACUGAGACACGGCCCAA
rnacentral:rRNA from 1 species